CCGCUCACUCUCUGCUGAUCCCUGCCGAGUGAACGAGAUCUUUGGUUUUGCCUUUGCUGACUGCUGAUCUGAUCAUCUCAAGUCUGAGUGAACAGAUCUUUGGUUUUGCCUUUGCUGACUGCUGAUCUGAUCGUCUUAAGUCUGGUGACCUGCUGCAGAAGCUCUCUCCCUCUAUCAUUGACAAGCCAUUCAGUCUGUCCUAUCACUCUACCCACUCUAUCUAUUUUGACAAGACGUUCUAUCUUGCUUCACUCUAUCCCACAAGCUCUAUCUAAGUUAUCAAAAAUCACGUUUUUAACUGGAAUCAAAUUUUGACUGGAAUCAAGUUUUGACUGGAAUAAUCAAGUUUUGACAUGGUCCCCAUUUUUGGGAAAUUGAAGUUACCAGUACUUCAUCUAUCUGUUACAGAAUUCUGAGAGAUCUCUGCUCUCACUCCUCCUUCUUUUCUGUCGUUAAACUCUCUCACAUCCAGUCUUUUUGCUGGAAAUUACAAGUAGAAAGUUGACUAUACAGUAGUAUAUUAAAAGUACAGUAAAACAGAGUAGAAAUUAUUUACGCAGCCCUAUAUUUCUAAUUUUUAUUUGUACAUUUGUAGCACGUUGAAUAAACACUGAUUAUUUGGCUUACAGGUGCAAUUACUUUGAUAAAUUCUAUAAAAUAUUCACCUUUUUAAGGUUUAUUUGGAAUAAGAUAAUCUUAUACUGUAAUACAUAUUUUCAGAGUGCUAUAUUCACAUAAAUAUUUAAUUUGAUUUCUUCAAAUACCUUUUGCUAGUUUGUUUCAUUGGAAAUAACAUUUGA
ensembl:lncRNA